rnacentral:rRNA from 1 species
AUUGAACGCUGGCGGCAUGCCUUACACAUGCAAGUCGAACGGCGGCACGGGAGCAAUCCUGGUGGCGAGUGGCGAACGGGUGAGUAAAGCAUCGGAACGUGCCCAGUCGUGGGGGAUAACGUAGCGAAAGCUACGCUAAUACCGCAUACGAUCUGUGGAUGAAAGCGGGGGACCGUAAGGCCUCGCGCGAUUGGAGCGGCCGAUGUCAGAUUAGGUAGUUGGUGAGGUAAAGGCUCACCAAGCCGACGAUCUGUAGCUGGUCUGAGAGGACGACCAGCCACACUGGGACAGAGACACGGCCCAGACGCCUACGGGAGGCAGCAGUGGGGAAUUUUGGACAAUGGGCGCAAGCCUGAUCCAGCAAUGCCGCGUGCGGGAUGAAGGCCUUCGGGUUGUAAACUGCUUUUGUACGGAGCGAAACGGCUUCCACUAAUACUGGGGGCUAAUGACGGUACCGUAAGAAUAAGCACCGGCUAACUACGUGCCAGCCGCCGCCGUAA